rnacentral:tRNA from 1 species
UUAAUAGAAGUUUUAAUAAACAUGUCACUGUUACUGAUAAAAUGGAUAACAAAAAUCCCUAUUAAA